UACGUAGGGGGCAAGCGUUGUCCGGAUUUAUUGGGCGUAAAGAGCGUGUAGGCGGCCUGACAAGUCUGCUGUGAAAACUCGAGGCUCAACCUCGAGAUGUCGGCGGAAACUGUCUGGCUAGAGUCCGGAAGAGGAGAGUGGAAUUCCUGGUGUAGCGGUGAAAUGCGCAGAUAUCAGGAAGAACACCUAUGGCGAAGGCAGCUCUCUGGGACGGUACUGACGCUGAGGAGCGAAAGCGUGGGUAGCAAACAGG
rnacentral:rRNA from 1 species